AACAUCGAUUCGCCGCAAAUCUCCACCUGAUCUCGCACGUGUGGAUAAUAUCUGAGGUUGAUCAAUUUCCUACAAAGAAAACAUUCAAGUCUCAAAGACAAUAGAGGAAAGCCAGCAUUUGUCUGCAUCAACGGGAAAGAAAAAAAACUGGAUUACUUCAACUUUCGCCGCUCGAACAAUUCAGCUUUAUCUUGAUUUUCUUUCGGCACAAUCUACAUAUUUCUACACAAUUAGUAAGUCAAUCCAACUUGUGCAGUUAGAUAAUAUCUCCAUCCUCUACUCUGUGCUUAAAAGUGAUGGGACAUUUUAUCUUUUCAUCGUUCAGAUAUUCAAUAAUUUAGUUAAACAUUGUAAGUACAAUGAAUUGCUAUGUAUUAACAUCAAAAUAAAAUUAUUUUUCUAAUCAC